GACGAACGCUGGCGGCGUGCUUAACACAUGCAAGUCGAACGGAAAGGCCCUGCUUUUGUGGGGUGCUCGAGUGGCGAACGGGUGAGUAACACGUGAGUAACCUGCCCUUGACUUUGGGAUAACUUCAGGAAACUGGGGCUAAUACCGGAUAGGAGCUCCUGCUGCAUGGUGGGGGUUGGAAAGUUUCGGCGGUUGGGGAUGGACUCGCGGCUUAUCAGCUUGUUGGUGGGGUAGUGGCUUACCAAGGCUUUGACGGGUAGCCGGCCUGAGAGGGUGACCGGCCCAGGGGGGACUGGGAUCGGCCCCAGCCCCCAGGGGGAGACAGGGGGGGGAAAUUUUGCAGAGGGGGCGGAGGCCUAAGGCGGCAACCCCGGGGGCGGGAGGAGGGCUUUGGGUGUGAAACCCGUUUUCGCUGGAGAGGAAGGGGGGGGGACGGUAGGGGAUAAAGAGCCGCCGGCAAACAACGUG
rnacentral:rRNA from 1 species